AGGAGUUAGGGUUUUAAAUUGAGGGUCAUGGGAAGUCAUUAAAAGAUUUAAUUAAGGAAACCACAUGAACUAAUUUCCAAUUUUUACAACUCCAUGUAACAAAAGUUUGGAGAAAGAAGUGAGGAGAGAUGGUUGAGUUUUUAAAUCCAUAAGGUAAUUGAUGCAAUUCUUGCAAGAAAGGGGGAAGUUCUCCAGUAUCAUAUGUUAAAUAUACACUUAUAUUUUUCUCUCUUACAUAAUGGAAAACAAAUAGCCCAUUUUUUAUAAGUUCAUUCUUUAGCUAUGCUAUUGCUGUUAAUCUACUCUGUAAAGAAAGGAGGAGGGACAAGGGUUUAAAGAGUAUUUCUUAGCAAUUAAGCACCAUGAUGAUUGCUUUUACAUGUUAAUAACAUUGUGAAAUGGGCAUUGUUUCUAACCAUUUUCAGCUGAAAAGUCCCUGAACCACACUGGUUGUGAAUAUUUGUCCUUUUGUUUGAAGAUAUUCUCAAAGUGAAACCAUUGAGUUCAGAACUUCGGAAUGUCAUUAGAGCAGCAACAGUUCUGCUCAUUAUUUUUCUUAUUCCCUGCCUCCAUACCUCAAACCAUUCAUCUGUGCUAUUCAUCAUACAUAUCAGCUCUCCCAUUUGGGGGGCACAUAGUAGAAUUGUACUCUCUUGCUCCUUUUUGCUUGGGUGGGACCACAGGACUAGUUCUAGCCAAUGAGUUUGAGUGGAAGUCAUAAUUCAUGUUACUUCAGAACUGGAUCAUUUAGUUGCCACUGCGAGAUACUCCACAGCUGUCUCUCUUCUCAGUCAUGUUGCCCUGUUAUCCUGAGUUGUGAGGAUGAUGAUGACACUAGAGCAAAGCUCUAAGCUGAAUGAUCCACAGUGGACAUGUUGUAUGACUGCCUCGCAUGAUGGCAAAUGGCAUAUUUAAAUGGUAAAAGGCUUGAUCUCUAUCUCAAAACAUUUGACAUACUCACACUGAAGAUGGAAAAAACUGUUUUUGAUGGCUUCAGAGGAAAGACUGUGUACUAAGAAGAGGUAGGUUUUAGCUCAAUAUAACAAAUUUCUUUCCAAAUAUGAAGGUGCUCUAAAAGUUGAAUGAGAUGCCUGAUGGGACGAUGUUUGUCCUGUUACUGUAAGUGCUUAUUAAGAAGGUAGAUAAAUACCCUCUUGGCUGGACUGCUGUGGGUAGGAGCUUUCCAAUUCAACAUUUGUAUCACUUUAGUCCUGUCUUCCACCCAGCAUAGGAAUUUCCUCCAUAGCGUCCUUGGAAAAUGAGUAUGUAUUUGUUAAGUGUGCAUAUUACUAGCUGCUGCUUGAUCUUAUAGAGGCUACAAAUUAUAGAUUUAUAGAACAACUUUCUUGGAAAAGGUAUGGGGAAUGAUUUCCAGAGUGCAGGUGGAAAAACCUCAUUCAACCAGUAAACUAGCAGGAAGAAUAUCCCUCAGUUUGAGAACGUACUGAGAAAGAUUCAAGUUCUAGUAGUUACUGUUUCUGUUUUAUCUUCUAUUAAAGAUACAUAAAUUAUUGUCUGCCGAUUAUGUUAAUGUUUAGAACUUUAUAAUUUGAAAAGUAUUUUCAUAUUUUAAACAUUUUAUUUAGACUUCAGAAAAACUUCACUAUUAUCCCAUUUCAUAGGGGAAGACAAUCAGAAAACAAUAGAUACUAAAACUUGAAUUUUCCUCUUUGUGCUGAGACUAUGUUAAAGACUUCGCAUGCUUUACUUCUAGAUCCUAUAAUACCUAUACAAAGUGGUCAUCAUUUUCAUUUUAUUCCAGGAAACUUAGAGUAGUAACAUAGACCAAGGUGUGAAGCAGCAGGUCCCAUAAAUUGGGCCACCACUAGCAGGACAAAAGGUCAAAUAUUCAGAUAAAAAAAUAUAAGAAACAAGAGUUUAGGGUUCAUCAACACUCAAUAACACAUGAGGAUGACAUGGUGUCUGGCCUCAAAGAGCUCAUGAUCUAGAAGGACCUGGGUCACAUGUCUGCGUUUUGGCCUAGGGACCUCAGCAACCAGCCCAGAACUUCAUCUAAUGUAUUUAAUGUAAUCUUGACAGUAACCUUACAAGAAAGGUAUGUAGAGAUUGAAGACUUGCCAAAAGCCACACAGUUACUGGAUAGCAAAGCCUGAACUUGUAGUAAUUCUACUGAAAUGUAAAGUUCCAUAUUUUUCCAAAGUCUCUAAACUUCGCUGAAAAUUGAGCUCAGUAAAUUUUAUUAUUCUCAUACUUAAUUGACUCUUUGCCUACAAAAGCUGCUUCCAUCUUUUCCCAUGUCACUCAAAAGCUCAUAUUUCAACAAAUAAACUCCCACUUUAAAAAAAAGAUUUCUAGCCAUUGCCCACAUUCCAUCUCAGAAUUUAUCUUCCUUUACUCACCCUGGACUUCUGCCCUUUCUCCUUCUUUCAAAAGAAGCCAUGUGUCUUCAUCCUAAGGUGAACUUCUCUACUGGGUUUGACUCAGAUGAGUAUAAUGGAGAGAACACUCAUGGAAUUAUGACCACUGCCCGGGAGUCCAGGCUGUACUGCUGGUUUCUGGUAAUACAGGGUCACUUUCCCAUGCAGGGCAAUUUUCACUGUGUUUUUUUUUUCUUCUUAGAGAGAAUUCACUAUAUCUAAUUUAACUAUAAUAACACCCUUGAGUUAGGCACUAUUGUUAUGUCGAAUAUAUUGUUACAUGCACCUUAUAUGAAACUGAAACUUUGAGAGAUUAAGAAAUUUAGCUAGUAGCACACAGAGAGUAAGUGAUACAGUCCCAAAUCUCUCAGAACCUAUUGAAUGCUCUAAUCUGUGGCUUCCCCUCCCCAAAUUCCUUUUCUAUAAAUUGAAAGAGUUGGUUCAAUCAACUUUAUUUUAUUUCUAGUGAUGUUUCUUUUAAAAAAAAAGAUACGAGGAACCCAAAAUAUAUAAGGAGAAAAGGCAGUGUUUAGAGUAUUUUUGAGUUCAAAAAUAUACCUAUUUUUAUAGAUUUACAUGUAUAUUUAUUUAAUUAUACCUAUUAUAAAGUCAACUAAAAUAUUUCAAAAUUAUAUAUCAAUAAAAUUUUGAAAUCAGGGGUUAUGAGGGAUAAUUGGUGUCUGAAUCCAGCUAUUCCAUUGAUUUGUUUUGGUUUCAUGGCACAAAAAAUCCUGAUUCAGUUAGAGAAGUUAUUUACAAAAGAUAACAGUUUUUCAGUGGUUAAGCUUAUUCUUCCAUUAACAAUUAGUCAAGAUAAAAAGAAAUAAUAAAAUCUUUUUUCUCAAGGUGAACUCACUAACAUCGAAUAGCUACUCACUUUGCAUUACUUGGUAAGUGUUUCAUUUGGGGAGUAUUAAUAAACUGGCUUCUAUAGAGUUGGGUGAAAUGUCUUUGGAAGGAAAUACUUUUCAAAUAUAUCUGAUAACAAUAUAAGAUUUCUCAGUUAUUUUAUUAAAAAAACUCAGAUGCCUUAGCACCUCUGUCUGUCAUAUUUCAAGGCUGUAAAAAUCUACUUUGUUUUCCAUUCAGUAGAAAUUUCAAGUUUCAGUUUCCUUGCUGACACCUUAUUUGCAAUUAUAAGCAUGAAAACACCAGGAUUCUGAAAAGCUGUUGUAUUUUUGCUAGCUACUUAAUGAAUGGAGUUCCUUCACUGAUACACACAUUUUUUUUUCUUCCUUAAAAUCUUUGAAAUAUUUAUGCUAGCACCUUGCCUUUAGUUCAUCAUAAAACCUUUCUGUAAAGAAGGCUAUUCUGGAACAUACUGCCAAUGUAAUUACCAGCAACUCUGAACAACUGCAGUUUUAAGGCUGCAUCUUAAUAUAACUGAUUAUUUAUAUGGCCCGAUCCAACACUGUUUAGAAAGAUGCUUGCAUGUUUGUAGGAAGUUAACACCUAGUGUUUGGCUAUACAGUGCCAUCAAACAGUCAUUAGACUACUUGAACACAUUGGAUAGUAGCUUUAAAGCAAGCCAUUACAUCGUGCUUUUCCCAGACAUUACUUUCACAUCAAUUACUCUUUGGCCAGUUUAAGGUAAACUAUCUUCUUUGUUUUCAUCUGCGUGAACCCAGUAUAGAAAAAUAAGAAUCAUGUUGAAAACCACACUAUUAGUAGUAAAGCCUACCAAAAAGUUCACAAAGUGACUACUUUUACUAAUCCGUUCUGUAAUUUGGAUGUUAAAAGUUUCACUCCCAUGUACACAUAUCAACAGAAAAUGGGACCAAGCGAAUUUCAGGACUUCACAAAACAGAAUUCAAAAACUAUAAAAUCAGAAAAUUUCCAAGUUUCCUUCCACUCCCAGCUUUCUAUGUUUAUGGCUAUUUUAUUGUGAUCAUAUUAUUUUCUCUGAAGUUUCUAAUUCUCUUUGCUCAUUUAUUUUUAGUCUUCUCCACUGCCUCCUUUCUGUCAGAGAAUAUGCACCUUUGAAAUGUGGCAAGUCUUACUGAGGAAAUUAAUAUUUAACUUUAACUUAAGUGGAAAUAGCCACAUGUGACUAGCGUCUACCAUGUUAAACAGUGGAGAUAUAGAAUAAUACAUGCUUUUUAUAAAGUAUUAAUAUAAAACAAUCAAUGGAAGAAUAAAUUCAAAAGGCCAGUAAACAUAUGCUCACUCAGAUAUCAGUUUUCCCUUUGCAAUUGACAAAAAAACAAGAUUGGCAAUAUAUAUUUUAGUUAAGGUGGGAGAAAAUGGAUUCUCUCAUACUCUCUUGGUGGGAGGGUAUUAAUAGGAUCUUCGGAGUCACUCUGGAAGUAUUUAUCACCAUUUUAACUGUCUAUAUUCUUUUCUCUAAAAUUCCAAUUCUGGGUAUACACCUUACAUAAAUACUGGCAUAAAGAUGGACAAGAAAGUUCAUUGCAACACCAUUUGUAUUAUUGAAAAAAGUUGAAAAUUCUUAAAUGUGAGGCCACAUGAGCAAUACAUUGCACAACUCCAGGCGACAUUCUUCGCCCUGUAAUCUGUAUGGAUGGUAAAUUUUAUGUGAUACACUCUGAAAACCCUGAUAUCUCUAACAAUGUCAGAAAGCUGAAUGGGUUAUAGUAUAUCUCUUCUGCACUACAGAAUAUUAGAUAGUAAAAAUAAUGGAGUAGAUCUCUAUGUACUUCUGUGGAUAUAUGCAAGCUAGACUGUACCAAAGAAUACCACUUGUAGCUUGUGCAAUAAAAUACCACUUAUAUUUAACAAAACAAUGACAUUCAAAACAACAAAACAAAACAAAAUUGUAUAUGAGAAACUGUAGGAUAAAUUUUAAGAGUAUGGACUGUGGAACUAGACUAAGAUGGAACUGUAUGUCUGAAACUCACUAUAUUUCCUUGGAAAAAUUGCAAAGCAUUAAUCUCUUCAUCUGCAAAGUGGGCAUAACAGUAGUGCCUACUUCAUGAGGUUAUAAUGAAGAUCAAAUAAGUUAACAUAUAAAAAACCUUUAGAAGAGGGUAUGGCACAUACUGAACAGUACUAAUAUCACUAUUAUUAUGGGCAUUAUUUUUACAACAUAUUUGUGUGUACUUGCAUAGGAACAUAAAUAUAGAGAGAGAUAUCCAAAAGAAUAUACACCAAAUUGUUAACAUUUCCUUCAUCACAAAAAAUUCUACUUGACAGCACUAUUCUAGAUAUUAAUCUUUUAUUUUGUACUUUACAUAUAUUUCUUCAAGACUGUUGCCUUUUAAGAUGGUUGGUUUCUUUUGUAAUGCAAAUAUUUUUAAUUUUAUGUAGUCUAAUAUAUUAAUUUUUUAUUGGCCUCCUUGUUGGCCUGCCUGGCUUAGAAUAGUUGUCUAAGUAAAAAUUUGGAAAAAUGAAAUGAUCAGGUUACACUGGGAGUUUAAUUCUUAGUGUUGUCAUUUGGCUGCAGCUCAGAGGGCAAUGCCCCGUUUAAUUGGGGCCUCUGUUCCCUAGUUGUCAUGACUCCCUUUGCUCCCUAUCACCGCACGUAUGCUGUUGGUAUUUUAGCCAUGAUUGCCUAUUUGUUUUCCUUAUAGGAGAGAGCUACUUCUUGGUCCUGUGUCUCUAUCAAAACUGAAAAUGUCAAAGAUCAACCAAAAAAAAAAAAAUGCACUUGUGGUUUGUCUCACAUCAAGCCUACUUCUCUCAUUUAUAUUCCUGUGUACCUCUUUAGAUAUCUGAAUUUGUGAUUGAUCUGGGUGUCUAUUCCUAUGCCCAGCUUAAAAAUUAUUAUGACAUUCUAUAAUCUGUUCUAUAUUUUGGAAUAAAUAAUUAAAAUAUUGAUUAUCUGUUUUUUAACCAUAUUAAACAAUAUUUAACUAAUAUAAAUAUGGUUUAUCUGUUAAAUAUUGUUUAUCUGUUUUUCCAACUCACUUAAAAACCAUGUCUUGAGGUCCUAUUUAAAGAAUAAUAGCAACUAGUAAACUAGUAAAUAAUAGCAACUAGUAAAGUGUUGCCAUAUUCUCGCAAUAGUCUUGUGAAUAGCUAUAGAUUAGGAACCUAGAUCAUAGACAGGUUAAACAAUUUGGCUAAAGUGACACUGCUAAUAGUGGUAGAGUCAGAAUUUGAAUCCUGCUACUGAUAUCCCAGAGCACAGCACAAACUCUGAAGCAAGUAAUUAAUUUUUAAGGAAAAAAAGUAAGGAAAAGAAAAUCUUCUAAGUAAAGUAAUUUUUCUAGGUUUGAUAAUUACUGUUUUUCUAUAUCUUCAUCAGUUUUCUAGUUUCAAAUUUAUCAGUUGAAAUUGUUGAGUGUAGUCUCUUAUGACAUUUACUAGCUUUCAACAUCUAUUUUCAUGUCUCCUGUAUUGUUCAUAAGACUGUUCGUGGAAAUCUGUUUUUCCCCCUCUGAUAAUACUGCCCAAAAAUCUGUCUACUUUAUUAGUCUUUAAAAAGAACACAUUAAAAAUUCUAAUCAGUAUGAUCUAUUUUUUAAAAUAGAUUUUAUUUUAUCCUUUAAAAAUCUUCAAUAACUCCCAGGUCACAUUUCUUUUGCAUUAUUUUGCUUCUCCUUUAAGAUUCUUGGGUGAGGGUCUGACUCGUUUAUUUUCAGUCUACUUUUUUUGUUAUACAGAGUUCUAUGGCUUUGCAUUUCCUUUUGUGCACCCCAUUUGGCUUCUGUCCACAUGUUUUAUUAUGAAAGGCUCUCCUUUUUAUCAUUUCUGAAUUAUUUUCACAUUACAUUUUGAUUACUUCUUUAACCUAGCAUUCUAUCAAAAGGUAUGCUUAAAUUUCCAAAUAGACAGAUUAUUUAUUCUUCCUUGUUUUUGGAUUCUGUGACAGAGAAAAUGCCACGAGUUUACCCAACCCUAUUUCAGGUCUCUUCUUUUCUGGGCAGGUGGAAGCUCCAUACUCCCUAACACUUGCAGUUAGACAAGAGCACAAGACUAAUUCUGGCCAAUAAAGUGUGAGCAGAAGACAUGUACAAGCUGAGUCAGUGAAAAGCCCUAUUUCAUUGCACAGGUCUUUGCUUUUCUGCCCUCUUGAGGGGUGAAGGCUAAGUCCUUUGUCAGGAUAGCUGAAUCACAGAGUGAAAGAAUCUUUAUUGACUGUAAACUAGUUCAACCAUUGUGGAAGUCAGUGUGGCGAUUCCUCAGGGAUCUAGAACUAGAAAUACCAUUUGACCCAGCCAUCCCAUUACUGGGUAUAUACCCAAAGGACUAUAAAUCUUGCUGCUAUAAAGACACAUGCACACGUAUGUUUAUUGCGGCAUUAUUCACAAUAGCAAAGACUUGGAACCAACCCAAAUGUCCAACAAUGAUAGACUGGAUUAAGAAAAUGUGGCACAUAUACACCAUGGAAUACUAUGCAGCCAUAAAAAAUGAUGAGUUCAUGUCCUUUGUAGGGACAUGGAUGAAAUUGGAAAUCAUCAUUCUCAGUAAAUUAUCACAAGAACAAAAAAACCAAACACCGCAUAUUCUCACUCAUAGGUGGGAAUUGAACAAUGAGAUCACAUGGACACAGGAAGGGGAAUAUCACACUCUGGGGACUGUGGUGGGGUGGGAGGAGGGGGGAGGGAUAGCAUUGGGAGAUAUACCUAAUGCUAGAUGACGAGUUAGUGGGUGCAGCGCACCAGCAUGGCACAUGUAUACAUAUGUAACUAACCUGCACAAUGUGCACAUGUACCCUACAACUUAAAGUAUAAUAAAAAAAAAAAAGAAAGAAUCUUUAUUGGUGAGGAGAAAUAAACCAGAGGCAUACCUAGAAUGGAUUUUGCAAGAAAAAUACAUUAUUGUUUUGGGCUACUAUUUCGGGGUUUAUACCUUUAUUUAGUACAGCCUAUACUGAUGAGUGCAAAUCAUUAUUAUUACUUCUGUCAAUAUCUUCAUAGUCAUUGGUAUGUUCUCCUACCAACAAAUUAGGAAACAUUUCCUAAAUUGUACAUAGUAGCAACACAGUCAAACCAAAAAUGUUCAGUAGAGGGGAAAGCCAACAAACUCUUCAGUACCAUCAAUUUAAUGAAGUAGCUGUACUUGUGCUCUUAGUCUUCUAUAAGCAAAUGCAGUGUCAUCCAUUCAGUCAUUCAUUUACAUUUCCCAAUCCCCUAUUCUUUAUGGGAUCUUGUGAUGAGCUCUUUGGAAUCCCACUAUGAACAAGAACCCACCAUGGAAGAAAGUGGCACGUUUUUCUAAAAUUUCUGAAUAAGAAUGAUUAAGGAUGAUCCAAAGCUGAUGCUCUUUCCAGCAUCUAUGGCCUUUGAUUCCUCAAAUGGCUGCAUCACCCAUCUUUCUCACUCCUCCCAUGAUCAUGGCUCAUUAUUGAAUUUUUCUGAUUUUGAUUAUUUUUCUAAUUAUCUCUUGUUUUGGGGGUUUUAUUUUUAGCCCAACUGCUGCCUCUGAUUUGAGCAUUUUUUUGCACAUGCUAUUGUUUGCAGACACAUUUUGGCUGAGACCUCAUCUGAUGAGCCAUUUGUUAGUUCUGAUUGAGUAGGUCACUUGUGGGCUCAAUUAACCACUUGCCCUUCAACUGAUGGUGCAAGUGGCCAAUUGCACCUGCAAUUAGCUAAUUAAGGGUUUGGUCAUUUCCAUAGGCAAUUUUGCCUUUAUCUAAUUGUGGGACUGCCCAAGCUUCCUUUCAUCAUUUGAGCAUAUACCAGCCUGUAUGGGCAGAGGAUGAUGACUUUUGAUGAAGGUAAAGUAGUAAAAAGAAAAUGUAAAAUUUUAAUGCUCUAAUGCAAUUGUCCAAAUUAGAUUAAAUAUACAAAUUAAAACUCUUGAAUUUGUUCUGUUCAUAUUUUUUAAAGUCUCUAUAUAGAUGGUUCUAAAAUAUUUUGCAUAAUGGGUAUCUGUCUAAAUAUUUAGAAUUCCUGAAUUGAUUUUGUGUGUGUGUGUAUGUGUGUGUCUGCACAUGCACAUGUUGGGGGAUUAUGCAUGUGAACUCAUCCCAAGAAUUUGCAAUCCUGGUCUGAAAGAGCUGAAGGUACAACAGAACAUAAAUCAUUCUCUCCUACAGAGAAAUCAGGGUAAAAGAAGGCUGUAAGCUCGAGAGGAGAGGAGGGAAUCCAUCACUCCUAGCCUUUUGAUAAAUGCUUUACAAAUAGCACUUAGUGGGCUGAAUAUUUCAUACAAGAUCCAGGGAGCAGACUGGAAGCACAUUUUUUUUUAACUUAAAGCCAGGACAAAAGAACUGCAAACAUCUCAGAACCCCUCUUCUGCCUGUAACAUAAGCUGAAACCAGUCAAGUUCUUCUCAUCUAGAAAGUAACCAGUUCGUAGACGACAAUCAGAGAAAGCACUUAUUGUCCAGAGUUUUCAUUGUAUAUAAUCUUUUGGAAUCACAGCCACACAGCCAAUUUCUAUGGCCCAUCUGUCAGGACAUUGAAAUUGCUUUAUUAUACAGAACCCGCUCACAGAUUCUGUGGAUUCAGUAAGGAAUAUUUACUGAGUGUCAUCUGAGAUCUCAGAGGUUCCAUAAAACACUUAAUUAACAUACAAAAUCCACUUCAGCUAAGCCUAUACCUACUUUCUGAAUAUCAGUUACUGAUUUGAUUACUCCUGAGGCUCGGGUUGGCAUGGGGAAAAAUUGCAGAAGCUACUAGAGAACAAGCUAGAGGGAAAGCAAGGUGGGCAGCCUCUGACAGCUGCUAUUUUCUCCCCGGGGCGUAAGAGCUGGUGACAUAGCCCCACCACAGAAACAUAGAAAAACGGUCUGCAGAGCUGCUUUUGUUUGUUUCUUCAUCUUUCUGUUUUGUUUGUAAUAAGCAGGAGUGCUGUCUUGCAUUGAAAAUUAAUUGUUUAUGUUUUAUCUGAGUUGCUUUUCUUGUUUACCACUUAUAAGCUGUGUUAUCUUAUGCAAUUUACUUAACCUCUCUGGGCCUCAGUUCCUUUUCUUUUUUAAAGAAGAUAAAGAUCUCACUCGGAGUUAUUAUGAAUACAUGAGAUAAUUUAAGAUCAGGUGGAAUUUCUCCAGCAUUGUCAGCCUGUGGUGGCUAGAGACUAGCCCCUUAAGAUCAAGGAGUAUUGCUCAUGAAUAGCGCUCAGAAUGUAACAGAAAUAUUUUGCACAGAUGGGAUACCGGAAAUAUAAUUGUUGAUUUACUGGGUAGAAAUUGAUGAGGUUACAUCAGCAAUAGCAAUGGUGGUUCUAUAGCUUUGGGCCUUUCGUGUACACAUGACCUCAUCUCCAUGUAAUGAAUUUUCAAGGGUUUAUGGCCAUCUUCGGGUUGUCUCCUUCCUGGCACCAUUAUUACUAUUCUGUCUCAGCAGGGUAUUUGUUGAGUGCCACUAACAACAGGCAAACAAUUCCUGAAAGCAAACAGGGCCUGGGGCUUCAGAGACAUUCUGAGGAAAAGCAGAGAAGAAAGUCCCUCUCUCUGCUUAAGGGCACAUUCCAUCACAGGGGUCCUAAUGCAGGGCUGACCUUUAUGAUGACAAUUACUGGGUGUCUCCUUUCGCCUCCUCAUUCCAGAGUACUCAGAUAUGAUUAAUCCCACGGGGCCUAUGCUUAGAGAAAAAUCCAACAGCCACCACACCUAUCUUAGAAUGAUAGUGCUGUCUCCACUGGGCUGGCUUCCUCUUCCCUGAGUUUGCUCCCAGGAAACUCCCCAUGGUUUUAUGCAAAAAGGCAUUUGGCAGACCUGUCCCAUACUUGUCAGACAUCUCCAGAUAUGUCUGAAUCCGUGCUUAGGCUCAUGCUGAGACCCCAGUUAUAAACAUAAAACUUCUAUAGCAUUUGAUGCAGAGUAGAAAUUUUUAAGUGUAGAUCUCUUUCCUUGUUCUGGAAACCAGAUUAUACAUUGAGAUUGUGGGUUGUUUCUCAGAUUUUCAUUUUAUUUUUUUCUUUAGAUAUAAGGGAAUUUCCAAAUUAAGGUGUUUUCAAUCACAAUGAAGGAGUCAGACUUCUCCUCUCAAUGACUCUAAAUACUGGUUCUACAGAGGAAUGGAAUAGGCUUCAACUUCAAGGUGUACUGUUUCAAAAUGUGUCUUCUUUAAGACAAAAUUGGCCCUUAAGAGUUCCCCUAAUGUCAUUUUAUGUAUCAAACAAGUUGACCUCCAAGAAACCUACUUUUUCAGUCAAUUUAGGCUAAGUUUGGCUGAGGUAACAAAUGAUCCCCAGUCUUAGGGGUUUACAACAAUAAAAGUUUGUUUAUCACUGGCUUACAUGUCCAUCAUGGGUUGGCUAUGGCUCCAUGUCCUUUUCACAGCAAGACUCAGGGUGGAACAGCCCUUCUCUGGAGCAUACCAAAGAAGAAUUGGAUCCAACCUAUAGUUGACCAGAAGCCACCUAGUGUUUUUAAGAGGAGAAUAACAUUACUAAGUUGAAAUGAUCACUCUGAUGCUAGGGUGGAAGGAACAUGAAUUGCAAAGGAAGAAAUUGGUAGCAGGGGAACCAAUUACAAGGUAUGUACCAAGUGUUAUGAACAGGAUAUGUAAUAAUGGUAUUAUCGAAUAUUGUUUCCAGCAUGAUACAUCCAGUAGGCCAUGGAGAGGACAUAGCUUGCACCCUUACUUCCAGACUGUCCAUUAACGAGAAAUAAAGGCAGGCCAGAUUAGUGACCAGUUGCCGUAGAGACAGGCUAACUCCUGGAAUGCACAGUGAAUGCAGGGCACAACACAAAAAGCCCAAUAAAGACUUCUGGCUUGUGUAAAAUGACCUGCCACUCCAGAAAUACCUUUGGGUUCUUGGAGAGAGGAACUGUUGCCAGCCUGGAGGCUGCAGCGGGAGUUCAGCAUCUCAGCAAAUGAAUUUUUGUCUUCUUGCACCUGUCGGUGCCCCAUAAUGUCCUGCUAAUCUCUCAGUCUCAUUUGUCCCAGGGCCUGCUUUCCAUCCGAUGGAACAACUGGCAGCUCAGGCAAUUACGAUGGAGAGGCACCCUCUUCGAAAUAUACACAGGGCUUUAUUUUCAGGAAGCUUGCCUGGGUUCGCUCUUGAAAUUGUAUUUUUGGCUUUGCUAGGCAUCUCUCUGAGGUUACCAUUCGUAGAUACAUCCGUUGAAAUUUUAAGAGCAAGUCUAUGACUUAGGAGGAGGGAGUGGAGGGGUCUUAGGUAUUUAAAUGGGCUCUUUGUAAUCUCUCUCUCUCUGUGGUUCACUGAGCAAACUAGCCUUGUAGGAAGGCAUUGAUCAUUCUCCCCACAGCCUCAUGAAGGAGAAUGAGCAAGCUGUGAGAGAUUUAUAUCCAGGCUGGACUCUCCUCCAGCUGUGAGUGACACAGUCAAAGAAAGCCUGUCAGUGCCACCCCCAUGGUGGGGCUGAGGCUGGAAAGAUGUCACCUCCAUCAGAAUGGGCCGGAGGUGAGAGAACCCCCUUGAUUGACAAGCCCUAUCCCCAAAGUGAUAAAAGAAGGGGCACUGGCACCGAAGGAAGCUCGAAGGAAGCUUUGGGGUGGGCAGAAAAGAGAGGGAGUAUCAUCUAAACAAUUUACUGUUGUUCUGUUCUCCUCAUUCAGUUCGGGGAACCAGGCUGCAGCCACAUCUGUGAGCCUUCAGCUCGGCUCAGGCUCAACGUGUCUCUGGGUUGAAGAGACUUCUCAGAUUUCAGGAGUCCUGCAAGCCUUUGGAAUGCUUGCCACUGAGGAAUUUGAACAUUAAAGGGUUCAAAGGUGGUUAGAAAAUCCAGUCCUCAAAUUGUUCAAAGAAAAACAUGUCUUCUUGGUCUUACUUUUAUGACUUGAACAUGAGGAUCAGCGGUACUAAGGAUUCAGGGGCAUCUCAACCUUUACCUAGCAAGCUCUUUCUUCUAAGAAAGUCAGUAUUCUGCUGUAUUCUCUUAAUUUUUACAAGCUGGGGAAGGAGGACGAGUAGUUAUUUGGACACACAGAGCUGUUUUAGUGAUAUUCAUAAUGGAACAUUGUAAAUCUGAAGAGUCAAGGUUCAAAUAUGGGUCUCUUAGCAUUUGACAUAUUUUUAUUUUGGGUCCAGACGAAGUACAUUUUUAAUAGGCAGGACAACGCUUCCUGCCUUCAAUCAGAGAUAAUACCAGACUGAGAUGAUAUUCAGAGACAGCAAGUUGCAUUUCAACUGAAGAUAAAUAUGCCCCCAUGAAAUUUCACCCAUUCUGGCUUUAAAACAUGUUAUGUCCAAGGUCAAUUAAUUGUACUUGCAACUUACAGCCAAUCAGAAGGAUGAGCUAGCAUCAAGAUUCUUUUGCAAAAUGAAAAUUUAUCUUUAAUCAGUGUUUUCUUUUGCUUUUCUGGGCUGUUUCUCACUUGCAAAAAAAGUAUAUGCAUUAUUCAAAAAUUAGAAAAAAACGAAGAAUGGAUUAGCAGUGGGACAUGACAAUGUACCAAGACAUUUAAAAUAAGUUAUUCCUAAAUGGAUUCAUGCCAAAUGAAGAAGCUUUCCACAGCAUCUGCGACCUUGAAAUUUAGCCUGAGAUUCUGCUUCAGAAAACAAUGGCUGAGCUUCCUGAUUGAGCAAGCCUUAGACUAGUGCCUUCUACUGAGUUAUUUUUUUUAUUUUUGAGGACCUUUCUGGAAGGUAUGUAAGAAGAAUAAGGUAUAGAUCCUGUCCUCAAAGAAAUGACAGCCCAGGGGGAAUAUAAGCCCCAAGCGCAUGAGUGUGCUGCAUAAUUUUCUCAGCUUUCUCAGAUUGAUCAUUUAUAAAAUUGGAAUGAAAGUAUUUCUCAUAUCUUCCUCCCUGGCUACUUUGAGAAUCAAGAGAGGGAGGGAGGGAAGGAGGGAAGGGGAGAGAGAGAAAGAGAAUAUGAGAAUGAGAAUGGUUGGGAGGAAUUUUGAAGACUUGUAAAUUAUUAAAAGGCUCUCUAGAUCCAUUGAUGGUUGUAUCCUACUUUUAAAACCUGACAGGGCAUCUUUGUGUGAAGUAGCCAAUGUAGCACCCUUAAGAGAAAUGCCCCUUAUAUUAUUCCCUUUCCAUGGUUGCCUAGAAACCAUAAUCUUAUUUCCCUGGCCCGCCCUCUUUUCUUUUCUCUUGUGCAUGUUGAGGGUCUGAUUCGAAAGUGCUGCAGCUGCAGAUGUGUCCAUGGUCUGCCCAUGUGGCACUGUGGGGGUGAGCACUUUCUAUCUGUAGACUUUGAGCUAGACAUUUUCAUAUUCAUUAUCUCAUUUAAUUCUCUCACAGAAACCUUAUGAGGUUUACUGCUCUCAUUUCAUGUUCAAGGAAACUGAGUUUCAGAGAAGUGAAAACAUUAUCCCAAGAUCACAAAACUAAUAAAUAGCAGAGUCAAGUUUCAAAUGGUGUGCUUUGACUUUGGUUUUCUUGAGAUGAAGUAGUCAUGAAGGCGGGUUCCGGUUCUAGUUUCUUCCUUUGAGUCUCCAAGCUUUUCACCUGUUUCUUGGCCUAUUUAGCAACGCACAUCAGGUUCCCAGACUCUGCCUAGGCUCUGCUCAUGAAUCUAAGAUACUGGGGAUGGGGAUGAGAGGUGAUAGAAAGAGUCAGGAAAGCUAAGUUCAGAUCUCAACUUCAUUGCUUACUAAACUGAGUUCUAAUGCUCUCAUUUGCAAAAUAGUGAUAGUAACAUGGAUCUCCUGUGAGAGUUCAGUAAGGAAAGAUGUGUUAGAAUGCAGUCAAGGCACCUGGCCCAUAGUAGAAGGUGCUCAGAACACUGAAUUUGAACCUGACUUCUGAUUCUAACAUCUUCUGGGAUCAGCCCAGAUCUGGCUAUAUCCUGGAAACAUAAGUUAUAUUCAGGGCAUUUUGUGUCAUAUUUGGCAGCAAAGAAUCCCAGUUUUCCCAGGGCUUCUUAUGUAGACAAAUCCACUAAAAGAUGACAUAGCUUCAAAUGCAACACUUCACUGAAAGACUUAGGGUCCGUUUAAUUCAGUGGUUUUCCAAAUUGUUUUUAUUAGCAAAUGCUUAUUUUUAAAACAAGUCUGAUAAAGAACUGCAUUAUACAAAACUAACCAAUGAGAUCUUCUCUACAUGGAGAGAUGCUGAGAGCCCUGGAAUCUGCCAGCUCAGACUUUUAACACAACAUUUCUCCUUCUAAACCCUGAGGUUUUGUAGAGCAGGAUUUGAAAACCACUGGUAAUACUAACAAUCUCACUUUGUAGACAAGGAAACUAAGGCCCAGGAAGAGUUACUUACUAGAAUGAAUGCAUCUACUCUAAUGUAUAAACAAAUCAUCUUCAACAACUUAGCUUGAUCUUAUAUUUGCCUGUAUAGCAAUAUGAGAGAAAAAUGCAUGUGUUUUAUUUCUCUUUACAAAGGGAUUUAUUCUCCCUUCCUCUCUCUCUCAGAGAUUAUAUAAUAAUGACUGUGUUCAGUAAGAUGAUUCUAACAUUUAAAUGGAAAUGCAGAAAAUAGAAUAGCAAAAGCAGUUUGGAAAAAGACGUUGAAGGGCUUAUACUACCUGAUUUCAGGAUGCAUUAUAAAGCUACAGUAAUCAAAACAGUAUAGUAUUAACAUAAGAGUAUCCAUAGAGCUCAGGGAAACAGCAUAAAUUGUCUAGAACAGACUCAAAAAUAUGCCAAGGUAAUUCAAUGGAAAAACAAUAACUUUUUUAACAAGCUAGAUAGGAACAAUUGGAUAUGGAUAUGGGAAGAAAUGAAUUUUGACCUUUAUGUUAUCUCAUAUACAAAUUAACUCAAAAAGGAUCCAAAGCCUAUAUAUAUAUGAUAUAAUUUCAAGAAGAAAACCUAGGAGAAAAAUCUUUACAAUCUUGAAGGCAGGAAUUUCUUAAGACACAAAAUGCAAUAACUAUAAAAGAAAAAAACGUUUGAAAUUAUAAACAAAAAUGUUUUUGCUCUUUUAAAGUCACUGUAAGCUGGACAUGGUGGCUCACACCUGUAAUCCCAGCACUUUGGAAGGCCGAGGCAGGUGGGACACUUGAGGCCAGGGGUUCAAGACCAGCCUGGCCAACAUGGUGAAACCUCAUCUCUACUAAAAAUACAAAAAUUAGCUAGGUGUUCUGGUGCAUGCCUGUAGUCCACCUACUCGGGAGGGUGAGGCACAAGAAUCACUUGAACCCGGGAGGUGGAGAUCGCGGGGAGCCAAGAUCAUGCCACUGCACUCCAGCCUGGGUGACAGAGCGAGACUCUGUCCCCAAAAAAACCCAAACAAACCCCACAAAGUCACUGUAGGGACUAUGAAAGGGCAAGCCAGGACUGGACGUGGUGGCUCACAUCUGUAUUCCCAGCACUUUGGGAGGCUGACACGGGUGGAUCACUUGAGGUCAGGAGUUCGAGACCAGCCUGGCCAACAUGGCAAAACACCGUCUCUACUAAAAAUACAAAAAUUAGCUGGGCUUGUUGGUGGGCACCUGUAAUCCCAGCUACUUGGGAGGCUGAGGCAAGAGAAUCUCUUGAACCUGGGAGGCAGAGGUUGAGGAGGUGGAGGUUGCAGUGAACCAAGAUCACACCAUUGCACUCCAGCCUAGGCAACAGAGUUAGACUCCUCCGUCUCAAAAAAAAAAAAAAAAAAAAAAAAGGAAAGCCAUAAUUCAGUGUAGUUCUAUAAAGGUAUAGUUCACAGUACCUACAUGUGACUAAAAAACUUGUUUCCAGACUAUGAAAAGAACUCAUACAAAGCAAUAAUAGGAAGAUAAAUAAACCAAUAAAAAAGGACAAAAUAUUUGAACAGACACAAAAAGAAGAUACAUAAAUAUCCACUAAAGCAUGUGAAAAUAUGCUCGAGAUUGCUAAUCAUCAGGAAUGUAAGUAAAACCAAAACAACAGAUUACUACACAUCCCUAAAUGACUAAAGUUAAGAGGACUGAUAAUACCAAAUGUCGGCGGAAUGUGGAAAAAUUAAACUCUAAUACAUUGUUGGAGGGGGUAUAAAAUAGUAUAGCCACUUUAGAAAACAAUUUGGCAGUUUCUUGAAAAAUUAAAAUUCACUUUACCACCCAACAAUUCCACUCCUAGGUAUUUACCCAAGAAAAAUGGAAACAUAUGUCUACAAAAAGACUUGUACAAAAAUGUCCAUAGCAGCUUUAUUAAUGAUAACCACAUACUGGAAACAACCCAACUGUUUAUCAACAGGUGAAUGAAUAAACAAAUAGAUGUAUAAUUCUGAUACAACAGUAAAGAUAUAUCUUAAAACUAAUAUGCUGAUGAAACAAGCCAGACACAAAAGCCAGACACAUCCAUAUUGCAUGGUUCCAUUCACAUAAAAUUCUAGAAAAGGCAAAAACUAAUGUAUACUUACAGAAAGAAUUAGCCCCAGUAUUAAUUAGGGUUGGGAAAAAGGAUUUACUGUGAAGAGGCACAAGGUAAUUUUUGAGGUUGAUAGAAACAUCCCAUCUCUUUGAUGGUAUUGAUAUGAAUGUAUACAUUUGUCAAAAAAUCUUUAAACUGUACAGUUAAAAUGGGUGAGUCUUAUUGUGUCUAAAUCACACCUUAAUGAAGAUUUAGAAAGUGAAAUAUUUUGCUAUGAUUGUAACGUAAAAAAAUCUUUAAUCACUUUGACGAAAGCAAGAUACAAAAAUUGUGGGCAGUCUGAUUAUAACUUACUAAAGUAUGCAUAAAAUAAUAAUUGAAAACUCAACAAAAAUCUGUUCAGGGUCAUGAUUAGCCAUGACCUAUUUCACACUCAAAUAUAUUUUAUUGAGCUUUCAUUUGAAAUUUUAACCAUUUCACUGAUGUCACACAAAUAAAAAAGUAUCUGCUGAUACACAUCAAAGAUAUAUGAAUCUGCAAAUAUUCAGAACCAUUUUUGGCAAAAAUGAUACUACAAUAGUAGCUGCAAAAUUAAAGGAGAGAAGUAAUAGAUUUUUAUUUAACAAAACUAGAUUUUGAAAAGCAAUGUUUUAAAAUACAGUAUUACCUAGAAAAAUGUCUAAAUCCUGUACAUAAGCCAGAGCCCAGGGACUCAUCAUUACAAACUUGUACUCUAGACUAGUUUGAGAUCGUCUAGAUUCUAGUCUUGUCUUUGGAAACUCAAUUAGUCUAGGGAAAUCCGAAAGUUAAGAAACCCUAUGUGUCGCAAAAAUACGAUCAAAUGAGCAAGUUUGUUUCCCCCUGAACUUCACAUUACAUCUCAUCUCAGGGUGAUGUAUUCAAAUUCUCCCAAUCCAAGCACUCCUGCAUAGUCUUCUAGGAACAAGCACUUCAAAGUUUUACAGAAGAGCAUACAGAAACUUUAUUAUUAAGGGGGAUAUAUGCAGUAGAGAAAGUAAUUUUAAGUAGUCCAUUUAAAGUUUUAAAGUUUUUGGUAUGUAAAAUCUCAGCAGCAUAGCAAGGUGUAAUCUUUGGGCUAUGUAACUUCAUUCAAUUCCCUCUAUUUAUAUAACUACCUAGGGUUGACAUCAAGCAUAUUUUUUCAAAACGUCUUCUAAUUCCAGGUUUGCAAUUCAACUGAAAAAAAAUCAAAGACACCUGAGAACAUUUUAUGACUUAAAAAGUUUUCUUUUCUUGAAAUAAAAACUACUGCUGGAGAUCUCUCCUCCCAUAUCUUAUCAGCUCAACUACCUAGUGUGAUUUGAAUCACCCGAACCUCAGCUUAAGGAAGAGAGAGAGAGAGAAAAGAAAAACCUUUGGUAAAGUAAGUUCCUUUGAUCCUUUUCUGCUACUUAUGAAAACUCACACUGUAUGUUUAACACAUUCCCAACAAGCCAGGAUAAUGAAGCACAUGGGACACGGAGACUUAAUUCCAUGUCUGUUUCUUUAUUUAAAAAACACACAUACUCUACGGGCUGGGCGAAGAAUAGACCAGUCUAGCUAGGAGUGAACAGUAAGAAGCAGUUGUGAUUGCCGAGUUGGGAGAUAUCAUUAAAAAGCAAACUGGGGAGCUCCCGUUUAGGAUCUGAGGAGAUUAUUGAUUCAAAUCCUUUAAGGCAUUCUUCAAAGGACUUCUUAAAAAGUUGUAUUGUCUGAGGAGUUUGGGGAGAGUAUUUGAGUCAGUGUGUGUGUGUGUCUGUGUGUAUGUGUGUUACACAAGGGUGGAGAUUAGUGGUUGGGAGGGCUGUAUCUAUGUGAGGUAUGGGGGUGGUGGGGUGAGUUAUGUGCAUGGAUUGUGAAUAACUUUAAAGCCAGUCUGAAUAAAUAAGGUAAUUUCAUAACAGGUUUUCUAAUUACUGACUUAGGUUUUGACUCCUUGAUAAUUCUGCCUCCAUAGCUAUAAUCCAAGGUCCUUCGUGAAUUGGCCUUUCCUCUCAUUCCAUACGAUCUUCUACACUCCCCAGAUUGCUGGAACUAAGAGUAUGUGCUGUCAGAUCCGACUGUCUGGGUUCAAAUACAUGCUCAUUUGCAAGCUAUGUGGCACUGUGCAACCCAGUUAACUUCACCAACUCUCAGUUUCCUCAUAAAUAACAUAGAAAUAAUAUCUACAUCAUGGGACUGUGGAUUCUAUUAGAUAAUUGCGUAUGAUGUGUCUUAAGUGCUCAAUAUGGUCAGCUGUGCAACUCAAAUUUAUUUUAAUUCAGUAAAUAUUUAUUUGAAAGUUUUCUGUGCAAUAGGUAUAGACUGUUCUCCUUUCAAUUUGCAUAUGAGACAUUGUAUUAGUUUUCUAAGGCAACCGUAACAAAAUACCACAGACCAGGUGGCUUAAACAAUAGAAAUUUACUUUCUCACAGUUCUGGAGGCUGGAAGUCCAAGGUCAGGGUGUUGGCAGUGUGGGUUUCUGGUGAGGCCUCUGUCCUUGACUUACAGAUAGCACCUUUUCUCUGUGUCCCUACAUGGCUUUUUCCCUGUGCAAGGAUAUCCCUGGUUUCUUCCUCCUCUUAUAAGGACACCAGUGAAAUUGGAGUAAGGCUCACCCUAAUGGCCUGAUUUUAAGUUAAUUACCUCUUUAAGGACCUUAUCUCCAAAUGUAGUUGCAUUCUGUGGGACUGGGAGUUAGGGCUUCAACAUAUGAAUUUUGGAAGAGACAUAAUUCAGCUUUUUGUGAGUAACAAGUCAUAACUCUGCUGUUUGAAACAAAGAGUUGCAGAGCCUGGAAUGUGUUCCUCUAUCUUUCCACUUGGUGACCUCUCUCUUACGUUCAUUUAGCCCAGCUCACGAAACUAUUUCCUCUGCACAGUUUCUGUUGAACUCACAUACAUAGCUAGAUGCAAUUCCUUAGAUAUAAUCUGUUAUAGCAAUUAGUAUAUUACAUUUACUCCAUCUAAUAUAGAUACAUAUAUAAAUAUACACAAAUGUAUGUAUAUAUAUGUACACAUAUAAACAUAUAUGGAUAGAGAAAGAGAUGGGUUUUUUUUGUCCAUUUCCCCAGCUAGAAUGAAAGCUCCAUGGAGAAAAGUACUACUUUGAUCACCACUGCAUUCCCAGAGCCUAGAACAUAGCUUUGACAACAAUAAGUGCUGAUUUUCCUAUUCUUAUCAGCUGUGAGGUCCAAUAUUCAGUAGCUCCUUAAGAGCAGAAAGUGUGUCUGCCUACCCUCCAUUGCUUGCUUAACAAAUCUUUGUUGAACAAAAUAAUGAAGGUUUUUACAGGCUGACAUUCAAUUCUUUGAAAUUAUUUGUGUGGAUUACAAUUGGAGAAGUUAACAUGCUUAUUUUGAUCCAGAAAGAGGAACAUAAACAUACAUCCUUUUGAUUAUGAGGCCAUAGUUUAAUGGGAAGAAAGGCUUCUGAGUAAAAAAACUGAGCAGAGUUUGAGACCAAUUGCUAACAGCAUGUUCCUCUCUUUGAGAUUUUCUUUUUUGCACACAAACUUGGUUUGAUAGGUUUGACUGACUUGACCAUGCCUUGAGGCAAAGAAAUAUGAUAACCAUGUACCUAGGGGUGGAUUAAGACAAAAUAAGGGGCCAUCACAGGGCUCUAUCCAAUUCUGGCUCUCCACAACUCCCUCUGGGUAAAUCCUAUAGCUUACACCUGUCCAAGGCAGCAGAAACCUAGACCAUCACAUCUGUCAGUGGCUGCCCAAAUAAUUAAAGCCAUCUGUGCCCAGCAUCUCAACACUUCUCAGAAUCAGUGUACAGCUCCAUAGUUUUUCCCAUAAGAAAUAUCUGCAGAAUCAUGAUGGUUAAACAAUUUUUUUCAAAAUGAAAAUCAGAAAGAUAAAUUCUCUUCAAUCCAUCUUGACGUUAUCAACAAAAAGUCCCAUUAAAUACAGCAGCUGAGAUGUUAGGGAAGUCUUCACGAUGGAGUUGCUAAAUCUCCAAAUCAAGUUAGAAGUCAGUGCAUGUAUUUGCCUGUAUUGUUUUGUUCAGCAUAGGGAAUCCAACCUACCUGCUUUCUUUGUGUAUCUAGUGAUGAAUAUGUUGACUGAUUGGAAUGCAGCCAAAUGCUAUUUCAUGUUGCGUCUUCUCCUCAGGGUAUUAUGGGGCCAUGCAGGGCAGUAUGGAAAAGAACAACACAUGGUUAAGAACUCAGGCUCUGGAGUGAAGCACACUUGAAUGGCAGUCCGAACCUUGUCAACUACUUGACCUUGGGUAAAUUACUUGACCUUGCUACAUUUGUUUCUUCAUCUGUAAAAUGGAAAUGAUAAUAUCUACUUUAUUCCUUAUGGUGAAGAUUACAUGAGAAAAUCUAUGUUACUUACCUACCAGACUAUUGGUACAUGGUCAGCACGCAAUAAGUGUUAGUUAAUACAGUUUUUGUUAUUGUGGUUGUUACUACUGCCACAUCAUACAGCCUCUACUGAAAAGUCCUGGCUUUCAGUAGACUUAAAAAGGACAAUGAUUGUGAGACAGGCUCACAAUUUUCCACAUUCAAUAGAAUUGCCAUGUCGUUGAGUCUGACUUGGUAAUUAAUUGGUAAAGUCUCUGAGAUAAGGUGAUAUGAUUAGCUCAGAACCAUUCCACCUUUGAUUACUCAAUUAGAAACCAAACUUUAUAAGAUGCUUUCUAUCUGCCAGAUGCCGUCUUAGGUUCAUUUUCUCUCCAGUGAUUAUUUAAGCCCCAAGAGAAUCCUGUGAAGUAGCUGUUGUGAAUGCUGUCCCUCUCCCACACGUUAGCCUACUGGCUUUCCAGUGGUCACACACCUAAUAUUGUCAAAGCUGUGAGUGUUUUGUGGACACAUGUUUUUUUGUUUAUUUGUUUUUGGUUUUCGUUUUGUUUUGUUUUAUUUUGUUUUUCCCUUUCAGAAUCGUUUUGGUUAACCUCUUUUCACUCAUUCUCAAUAAUCCAGUUUAAUCCCUUUGAUUUGAGUGCGACUGAAUUCAUCCCUCCUGGGGCUAAAGGGAUGGUAAUAAAGACCUAGGACUGACCAAUCCUACUAGCUACAGAGAGUUCUGUGGCACGGCUAACUUAUUUCUGAACAACUCACAUUGAGAGAAAAAGGGCUGCUUUUCUCCUUGAAAUUGCAAGAAAGUAUAUCCAUGGAAACGUGGAGAACUUGAACAUUAUACAUAUUGCCACUCACCUCGAGCAUACUUAAAAAUGAAGAUUCCACAGAUGAAAGAAAAGAGAGAGAUCGGAUAACAUCUUUUGAACCCUGAGCUGUAGUUGUGCCUGAAACUAGUUAGGUAAAGUAAUAGAUUAUCACUGUCUCAGGCUACGUUGAAUUGAGUACCCUGCUAAUACAGUUCUAGCCAACACAAUUGGACCUGUAGAACUCCAUACACCUUCAUCACACAAUUUAAGAAUGUAUGGUUAGAACAAAGGAUUCCUCUUCUGUGCAAAAGGCUUUUCUAUGCACUAGCCUUAUUUGGGGGCACUAAUAUUCUCCUAAAUAAGUUGGUAUAACUCCUAUAUUUAGAUGCAUAUAAGUCCAUAAAAUGUCUAUAUAUUCUUUAAACUGAUUUGAUUGAUCUCCUCCUUAGAUUUCAGUUUCAUUUAGCAGUGAAGCAGCUUUAUAGUUUAUACAAAAUAAAAUACUUGUAUUGAGAUGGCUCUAGUAUGGUUUCUAGUUUAGUUUAAUUUUGUUUUUUAAUAAACUGUAACUAACUUU